CCUACGGGAGGCAGCAGUGGGGAAUAUUGCACAAUGGGGGAAACCCUGAUGCAGCGACGCCGCGUGAGCGAAGAAGUAUUUCGGUAUGUAAAGCUCUAUCAGCAGGGAAGAAAAUGACGGUACCUGAGUAAGAAGCUUCGGCUAAAUACGUGCCAGCAGCCGCGGUAAUACGUAUGGAGCAAGCGUUAUCCGGAUUUACUGGGUGUAAAGGGAGCGCAGGCGGCCUAGCAAGUCUGAUGUGAAAUGCCGGGGCUCAACCCCGGAGCUGCAUUGGAAACUGUGAGGCUGGAGUAUCGGAGAGGCAGGCGGAAUUCCUAGUGUAGCGGUGAAAUGCGUAGAUAUUAGGAGGAACACCAGUGGCGAAGGCGGCCUGCUGGACGACAACUGACGGUGAGGCGCGAAAGCGUGGGGAGCAAACAGGAUUAGAUACCCUUGUAGUC
rnacentral:rRNA from 1 species